rnacentral:rRNA from 1 species
UAAUACAGAGGUGGCAAGCGUUGUUCGGAAUUACUGGGCGUAAAGGGCGCGUAGGCGGCCUUCUAAGUCAGACGUGAAAUCCCCCGGCUUAACCUGGGAACUGCGUCUGAUACUGGGAGGCUUGAGUAUGGGAGAGGGAUGUAGAAUUCCAGGUGUAGCGGUGAAAUGCGUAGAUAUCUGGAGGAAUAC